AGCAGCCGCGGUAAUUCCAGCUCCAAUAGCAGUAUAAUUAUGUGUUGCAAAGUAACUCGAGUUGAAUUUCGGGAUCAGACUGUCGGUCGUGCCUCGGUACGCACUGGCAUUAUUGGUUCUACCUUCUGAAGAACCGCGAUGUCAUUAAUUUGGUGUCGUGGGGAAUCAGGACUGUUAUUUGAAAAAUUAGAGUGUUUAAAGCAGGCAUCGCUUGAAU
rnacentral:rRNA from 1 species